GAUGAACGCUAGCGGCAGGCUUAAUACAUGCAAGUCAAGGGGGUAGCAAUACAACCGGCGCACGGGUGAGUAACGCGUACACAACAUACCAUAUACUGGGGUAUAGCUUCGGGAAACUGAAGGUAAUCCCCCAUAAUAUUGCGGGAAGGCAUCUUUCUGCAAUUAAAGUUUCGACGGUAUAUGAUUGGUGUGCGUUUGAUUAGCUAGUUGGUAGGGUAACGGCCUACCAAGGCGACGAUCAAUAGCUGGCGUGAGAGCGCGACCAGCCACACUGGAACUGAGACACGGUCCAGACUCCUACGGGAGGCAGCAGUAGGGAAUAUUGGACAAUGGGCGAAAGCCUGAUCCAGCCAUCGCCGCGUGAUAGAUGGAACGGCCCUCGUGGGUUAGUAAAUAUUCUUUUAUCGUAGGGAAAG
rnacentral:rRNA from 1 species